rfam:Picea glauca, whole genome shotgun sequence.
GUUCAAACGAGGAAGGGAUUAUAGUGGAUACCUAGGCACCCAGAUAUGAGGAAGGGCGUGGUAAGCGACGAAAUUCUUCGAGGAGUUGAAAAUGAGCAUAGAUCCGGAGAUUCCUGAACAGGUUAAACUUUUUAACUAUUGCUUAAUCCAUGGGCAUGCAAGAGACAACCUGGAGAAUUGAAACAUCUUAGUAGCCAGAGGAAUACAAAGAAAAAGAGAUUCUCAUAGUAGCAAUGAGCGAAAUGGGAGAAGUGUAAACCGUGAAAAUGAGGUUGUGGGAGAGCACAAUAUAAGCUCUGUGCUGCUAGGUGAAGCGGUUGAGUCCUGCACCCUAGAUGGUGAGAUUCUAGUAGCCAAAAGUAUCAUUGGGUUAUGCUCUAACCCCAAUAGCAUGGGGCACAUGGAAUCCCAUGUGAAUCAGCAAGGACAACCUUGCAAGGCUAAAUACUCCUGGGUGACCGAUAGCAAAGUAGUAUCAUGAGGGAAAGGUGAAAAGAACCCCCGUCAGGGAGUGAAAUAGAACAUGAAACCGUAAGCUCCCAAGCAGUGGGAGGAAAAUGAUUUCUUUGACCACAUGCCUAUUGAAGAAUGAGCCGGCGAAUUAUAGGCAGUGGCUUGGUUAAGGGAACCCACCAGAGCCAUAGCGAGAGUGAGUCUUCAUGGGGAAAUUCAAACUGCUUAUGGACACAAACCUGGGUGAUCUAUCCAUGACUAGGAUGAACCUGGGAUGAAACUAAGUGGAGAUCUGAACCAACUGAUGUUGAAAAAUCAGCGGAUGAGUCGUGGUUAGGGGUGAAAUGCCACUCAAACCUAGAGCUAACUAGUUCUCCCUGAAAUGCAUUGAGGCGUAGCAAUUGACUGAACCAUCUAGGGGUAAAGCAUUGUUUCAGUACGGGCCAUGAAAGCAGUACCAAAUUGAGGAAAACUCUAAAUACUAGAUUUCCCCAAUAAAAGGGGUAAAGUUCAGCCAAUAAGAUGAUGGGGGAUAAGCUUCAUCAUCGAGAGGGAAACUUCCCAGAUCAUCAGCUAAGGCCCCUAAAUGACUGCUCAGUGAUGAAGGAAGUACGAGUGCAAAGACAGCCAGGAGCUUUUCCUAGAAGCAUCCAACCUUGAAAGAGUGCGUAAUAGAUCAUUGAUCAAGUGCUUUUGCGCUGAAGAUGAACGAGACUAAGCGAUCUACCGAAGUUGUGGGAUGUAAAAAUACAUCGGUAGGGGAGUGUUCCACCCCAUAGGGAAGCACCAACGUGAGCAAGUGUGGACGAAGAGGAAGCGAGAAUGUUAGCUUGAGUAACGCAAACAUUGGUGAGAAUCCAAUGCCCCAGAAACCUAAGGGUUCCUCUGCAAGGCUCAUCCACGGAGGGUGAGUUAGGACCUGAGAUCAGGCCGAAAGACAUAGUCGAUGGACAACAGGUUAAUAUUCCUAUACUACCCCUUGUUGGUCCCGAGGGAUGGAGGAGGCUAGGUUAGCUGAAAGAUGGUUAUCGGUUCAAGGACGCAAGGUGACCCUCUAUACAUUGAUUCAAAGGUAAAAGAAGAAUCAAAUAUAGGUGUGUACAAGGUGAGGUUGGGGGUGGAUAUUCCUCAUCGUCUACUCUAGCACACAAAAAUCCAAGAUGGCUUAUCCAAACAUUAUAGGAUGCACAAAAUCAUGUAGGAGUGCCCAUAUCAUCAAUGAGGGUGAGUAUACCUCCUAGGAGAUAUGUUAACCAUAUUGUAUUAUAUUCUUCCAUUUGUGAUAUUUACAAUUGUUUUGAGGAG